rnacentral:rRNA from 1 species
CAGCAGCCGCGGGAAUACAGAGGGUGCGAGCGUUAAUCGGAUUUACUGGGCGUAAAGCGUGCGUAGGCGGCUUCUUAAGUCGGAUGUGAAAUCCCUGAGCUUAACUUAGGAAUUGCAUUCGAUACUGGGAAGCUAGAGUAUGGGAGAGGAUGGUAGAAUUCCAGGUGUAGCGGUGAAAUGCGUAGAGAUCUGGAGGAAUACCGAUGGCGAAGGCGACUAUCUGGGCCAACACUGACACUGAGGCACGAAAGCGUGGGGAGCAAACAGGAUUAGAUACCCGUGUAGUCCCUGUCUCUUAUAC